rnacentral:rRNA from 1 species
GAUGAACGCUGGCGGCGUGCCUAAUACAUGCAAGUCGAGCGAACGGACGAGAAGCUUGCUUUUCUGAUGUUAGCGGCGGACGGGUGAGUAACACGUGGAUAACCUACCUAUAAGACUGGGAUAACUUCGGGAAACCGGGGCUAAUACCGGAUAAUAUUUUGAACCGCAUGGUUCAAAAGUGAAAGACGGUCUUGCUGUCACUUAUAGAUGGAUCCGCGCUGCAUUAGCUAGUUGGUAAGGUAACGGCUUACCAAGGCAACGAUGCAUAGCCGACCUGAGAGGGUGAUCGGCCACACUGGAACUGAGACACGGUCCAGACUCCUACGGGAGGCAGCAGUAGGGAAUCUUCCGCAAAGGGCGAAAGCCUGACGGAGCAACGCCGCGUGAGUGAUGAAGGUCUUCGGAUCGUAAAACUCUGUUAUUAGGGAAGAACAUAUGUGUAAGUAACUGUGCACAUCUUGACGGUACCUAAUCAGAAAGCCACGGCUAACUACGUG